ACGUGCGCUUCCAUUGGUGGGCGCAGGAGCCGCCGGCGACUCGUGACCGUCUCCAUGGCGCCGGCGCGUGGGGAAGCGGAGGCGGGCGCCUCGCGGCCCACUCGGCCACCGCGGCUAACCCUUAGUCCCUAAUGUCCUUGUGACCAUGGUCACGGGCUGCCUCUGAGCCCCACUAGAACUGAAAGGGAUGACCUGUGAUCUGCAACCACCAGUAAGAACAAACUACAGAGUACAGUUGUGCGCUAACUUCAACAGCAUGUCUGUUUUGCUGCAGCACAUGGACAUUUAUGAGAAGUUAAGUCCAAAGUUGAUUUGCAAAGUCCCAUUUUGAUAACUCUGCCUCCCUUGCCACAGAAGUGGCCGUGGAACUUGCACCUGAUUAAUUUGAGCAACAGUGAUUAGUGAAUUGACAAGUGAUAUAAGCAGAGAUGGAAUCCCUUUCUGGCUUUGAUACUAUAUAUGUUCAGGAUACUAUAUUUUUGGGGUUGCUAAGUAGAAUCUGUUGGCAAGUAUGUUCUGUGCCACAUAAAGGAGGCAUAUCUGCAGAGCAGGAGAAAGUGAUAUUAAUAUGUCAAGAGAAGUAGAGACAAGCAGAAAUGAGCAGCAGAAAGAGUAUGUUCUGGGAAUGUUGAGUUCCCAGAUCCAGUUCUUUCUAUAGGCAUUACUUUCUGUAGCCAUUUCUUCAUUUCUAUGAGUUAUUUCAGUAUCUUCCCAGAAACAUGGACCACUACAUUUACCUUUGCCUUAAAAUAACAUGAACUGAUUUCCUCUUUACUUGUAAUAUUAGAGUCCCGACUAAUACAAAUCCCUAUGCAGUUAAUGGGUGGGCUUUGGCAAGUCUGCAAACUGCAUGAAAUUGUAUGCAAGAUUUUGUGUUCGAUUCUAAGUGCACUUUGCACCCCCGCCUCCCGGGAAUAGUUUUGUAGUUUGCCUCAGAUUCAAAAAAGACCUAUAAGCCCACAAAAGCUGACUUAAGUUAGUAUGAAUAAAAAUAAACUAAACAAAUAGCUUUCUGUGUCAGAAUUUACUCAGAAUAUACCAUACCAAGGUGAUUACAUUCACCUGAGUAUGGAUUGGAGUCUGUCUUUGCCUGAUGUUUUUAAACUAGAUUCUAAGGCUUCCUAAGAGCUUUAAAUACCAAAGACACUUAUUUUUCAUUUAAUUCCUUCCUUGUUACUUUCUUCACCUACUAGCCUAUUUGUAUAUGUGUGAUAUUGUUAGCAUAUUUCUCAAGAGAGUAAAAUGAGAGGCACUCGCUAUUCACUUGUCAAACAUCAAAGAAGAUGAACAUCCAAUAAGAAGCCGCUAUCUAUAUUCUAAAAAACCUUUAGACUUGACUUUUAUCUACCUUUGGAAAUAACCUUCAGGCAAAUAAUAGGGAAAUAAUAUUAUGCAUUAAAUUUAAAUUUGAUAAAUACAACUCAGACGUUUUAAGAUUACUUUCAAAAAGACUUCUGGGUUAAGAGGCCAGUGAAAUUAAGUUAUAGGGCAGAAAGAAUCUUUAUUGAGGAAAAUUAAAACUGGACACAAUAUAAAUGAGAAAACAGUAAAAUAUAAGAAAUCCAUCUUGUUCUCUUGUGUGUUAGCUAUCAAGUGGAAAAUAAUUGUAUGUGAUAAAAAGCAAAAUAAAGUGUUCCCAAUACUA